CUCCUUAACUCAAUCACAUGUUCGGUAGCUUUUGUUGCGAAGGGAAUUAAUUUAAGUAAAUUUACAUUAAAUCAUGAUUAUAAUAUCCAAGUUUCUUAUGAAUUGUCAUCUUUGAUCAAUGCAGUCGAAAUUGCUAAUAGUUAAUCAUGAGGUAACCGCUUUAAUGGUUCAUGUAUUAUGCUUUUUUAAUGUUAGACAAAUGGACAAUGGUAACUGUGAUACAACGACUACGACAACGACUGUUUUAAGAACCUAAAUUUGAUGGUUCCUUGGCUUAUUGGGUUCAAAUUAUGAACAUUUGUUACUACAAUUAAGUCUACAAAACAAUGGAGGAAAUACGUGAUCGCUGGGCUUCGCAAAUGCUUCUCACCAAUCGUAAAUAUCACCUUGGAUUAUUUAUUUGGUCCCGUGUCCAAUGAUAUUUUUCCCAUAACAACACAACAAACGUUCACUUUGGAAGGCAAAAAACUUUCACUUUUUUUUACCACUUAUCCCAACUUAUUGUAAAUCAUCACAAAAUAACAUCAACAUCACCAUCACCAUCACCGUCAUCAUCAUCUUCCUACUUCCUGUGUUAACCAUUGAUUUCAAUUGGAUUGUAAAGUAAAGCUUAAAGAAGAUGAAAGACAUGGUACCAAAAAAGCAGCCAAAACCAAUGAACAAAUAAAGAAGGGAAGAAAAAGGACCAAGCGAAAGAAGAAAACCUAUCCUAUUUUUAUUUUCGUUUUUGUUAUUAUAAUUCUUACACUUACCUUUCCUUCCUUAUUUGCCUUCUUCACCUUAUUUAUACCUUUCAUCUUUUUGUUAAUAAUUCUAUUUCUGCUUCUUUUCUUGACCUUAUCGGUGUGCUUCUAGCUAUGCUUAUUCUUAGAUCAUAUUCUGUAGGUCACUAUGUAUUAUAUCACCAGAUGCUGACCUCGAUGUGACACUAUUAUUAUUAGCUGUGUACCUUUUGUACCAACGAAGAUUAGGACCUUUUCUUGCGUUACAUUUCAUUAUUCAUUUUAUUUUUAUUAUUGUUGUUUGUCUUAUUUAACAGGACAAUGAUGAUGAUGAUGUUAAAGAUGGAAAGUGAAAGACCGAUUCACCUUUAACUAACUCAAUGCCAAAUUGAAGAGACAAUUGGGAAACAGGAGAAAGUUGUCAUCAUUUAAGCUUUAUCGCCAUCUUGUUCAAGUUCAUCACAUCCCUGGCUUUGACCCUCGUCAACAGCGUCAACCAUUCAUCCUCUAGAUCGCCAUUCUCAUCAUCACUAUUUAUCAUCUUCCCAUCAAAGCAAUCAUUUUAUGAUUUAAUAUCACCUUGUAAUUGUUUCUUCUUGAUCACCAUAUUUUACCAUUACUUGCUGUCUUUUUACCAUAGUUGUUAAUCUUGAACAAGUUAAUCAGUUUAAUGUAACAAUCAACUUGAUCAACCAAAAGUGAUACUUUAAUUGGAAACAAUACAAAUGUCUAUUGUUUUCCACUUUUGUUUAUUAACUUAGACUACAAAAACUUGCAAUGAAAAAAACAGUGAUUUCAUUUGUCAAUCAAAAAGCCCAAAUCAGAUGAAUGCACCUUUUUUCCAAGUUAAUAAACAAUUGAUGAAAUCUCACCUAACAAUUAAUUGAAUCAUUAGAUAAUCAGCAAGUUGUUGUAACAAAAUAACAAUAACAAUAAAAGCACACAUAGCUAACAAAAUCAUAAUUAAA